UUCAAGUACUUUUUUUUUUUUUGGAUGGAAAUCAAAUGUAUAGUCCAUUGGCCAUGGUUUUUGCAUAAAGCAGAGGGAAGUUUCCAGAACAAUUCCACAACAUAUUCAAACUUCGUCCCCUCUUGCCUGGAUCUUCACCUCUUGUGGUUGCACAUUCUAAGUGGGAGAACACUUGCCUAGUAGGUGCAAGGCCCUGGGUUUGAUCCCCCAUAGCUGUGGGGAUGAUAGGCUCUGCAUUUGGAGGCCACAGUAGGAGGUCUGCUCCACAGUUAAUUCAGUAUUGCAGGAAAAUCAGCAAGAUUUCCAAACCAGAGCAGACCCAUGAAGGCAAGGAUCCGAAAUAUCUGAGAUUUUAUCAACAUGAUUCCUGAAAUGGGGAUUUUUUUUUUUCUUCUACAAGUUUCUUUUUCCUUUUCCUUUUUUUUUUUUCUUAACUGAAAUCUUUUUUCGAGUUUCAUUGUUGCCGAAUAGGUUAUCUGUAGGUCAGAGAGUUCACAGGUUGUUUGGAUUUCCUAAAAUUGUGCUUUUCCCUAAAUGUGGCACGAGAGAUUGUUUUUGGACUGCUGAGUGUCUGGGGUGGCCCACUGAGGUCCACACAAUGUCUCUAUUUCUGUUUCUGUUGUCCCUAGUAAAGGUAUUUCAGAGUUCCCUGGUCUUUAAGACUAAAACCAGCAGCAACCAAUCUUGAACUUCUGAAGUUUCCGGUUAAUUCUAUGAAGUUUAGAAUUCUUUAAUUCUCUC
rnacentral:lncRNA from 1 species